rnacentral:tRNA from 1 species
AAUUAGCAUCAUUUUUUCUCGAGCCGUAGGAGGGGAAAACCUCCUAUACGUUUCUAGGGGGGG